rnacentral:rRNA from 1 species
CCUACGGGAGGCAGCAGUGGGGGAUAUUGCACAAUGGGGGGAACCCUGAUGCAGCGACGCCGCGUGGGUGAAGAAGCGCCUCGGCGCGUAAAGCCCUGUCAGCAGGGAAGAAAAUGACGGUACCCACAGAGGAAGCACCGGCUAACUCCGUGCCAGCAGCCGCGGUAAUACGGGGGGUGCAAGCGUUGUCCGGAAUCAUUGGGCGUAAAGAGUUCGUAGGCGGCACGUAAAGUCUGGUGUUAAAGGCAGAGGCUCAACUUCUGUACGGCACUGGAUACUUGCGAGCUAGAAUGCGGUAGAGGUAAAGGGAAUUCCUGGUGUAGCGGUGAAAUGCUUAGAUAUCAGGAGGAACAUCGGUGGCGUAAGCGCUUUACUGGGCCGUAAUUGACGCUGAGGAACGAAAGCCAGGGUAGCAAAUGGGAUUAGAUACCCGGGUAGUC